rnacentral:rRNA from 1 species
GAUGAACGCUGGCGGCGUGCCUAAUACAUGCAAGUCGAGCGAACAGACGAGGAGCUUGCUCCUCUGACGUUAGCGGCGGACGGGUGAGUAACACGUGGAUAACCUACCUAUAAGACUGGGAUAACUUCGGGAAACCGGAUCUAAUCCCGGAUAAUAUAUUGAACCGCAUGGUUCAUUAGUGAAAGACGGUUUUGCUGUCACUUAUAGAGGGAUCCGCGCCGCAUUAGCUAGUUGGUAAGGUAACGGCUUACCAAGGCAACGAUGCGUAGCCGACCUGAGAGGGUGGUCGGCCACACUGGAACUGAGACACGGUCCAGACUCCUACGGGAGGCAGCAGUAGGGAAUCUUCCGCAAUGGGCGAAAGCCUGACGGAGCAACGCCGCGUGAGUGAUGAAGGUCUUCGGAUCGUAAAACUCUGUUAUUAGGGAAGAACAAAUGUGUAAGUAACUAUGCACGUCUUGACGGUACCUAAUCAGAAAGCCACGGCUAACUACGUG